rnacentral:rRNA from 1 species
UACGAAGGGGGGCUAGCGUUGCUCGGAAUUACUGGGCGUAAAGCGCACGUAGGCGGCUUGCCAAGUCGGACGUGAAAUCCCUCAGCUCAACUGAGGACGUGCAUCCGAAACUGGCGAGCUUGAGUACUGAAGAGGAUCGCGGAAUUCCCGGUGUAGAGGUGAAAUUCGUAGAUAUCGGGAGGAACACCAGUGGCGAAGGCGGCGAUCUGGGCAGAUACUGACGCUGAGGUGCGAAAGCGUGGGGAGCAAACAGG